UAUUUAUUUUAAUAAGUCAGAAACGUUUCCGCUAUGUCCUGCUGACAGGCGCAGCAGGUGACGCCAAUUAUGGCUCGUCCGAAGGUUAGACCGUCUCAUUUCAGUUCUCUUCGCGGACUUUUGAGGCUGCCACCUUGAAAGACCGAGUGCUCAUAUUUAAGGUCGCAUGCUUAUAAGGUCGCAGCCCCUGAAUUGGGACACAGCUAACGAGUCACUGCCUUGAGUUUUCGGACGCAGCAAAGGUCACCCUGGCACGACGCUUUGAUAUCAUGACAUCAUAAAGGGCAUUCUCAAGUCAUCGCGUGUAGAACAGCACGAGUCGUUCAUGCGUCCCAUUUGAAGUUCGCGCCUCCUGACAGCUGCUGGAUUUCUCCUCCAAAAGUUCUAGAUGAGAGCUGAGUUGUCGUGGCAACCGUGACGCAUCAUCAGUCAACAAAGAGCAGCACCAAACUCUCAACUCUUGUCUUUUAUUGUAAAAGGUUAGUAAAAAUGAUUACAUUUCAAAGAAAAAAACAUUGUAAUUCACACGCUUUAAUGUCAAAGUAAAGGUUUUAUCGAAUAUUUUUGUAACACUUUAACAUUAACAUUAGUAAAUCCCUUAACUAACAUUAGGGAUGCACCGAAUAUUCGGCCACCGAAAAUUUUCGGCCUAAAAUGGCAAAAAGAGCAUUUUCGGUUUUUGGCCGAAAGACUUUGAUCACCGAAACAAUACGGCCGAAAUGUUGUUAUGACGCAAAUAGAAACUGCGACCUGCACAUGCUUGUCCGAAGCAAAAUGUCUGCGGUGUGGAUGUAUUUAACUCUGUACGCACAGAGGCACAUGCAGUUGAAAUGUCCGGUCCAGACGUGAUCAUCACAGUAUGCCCUUCAAAGAUCAGAACUCUUAAUGUGUAAACUUUAGAGAGAGUCGCCCUGUGUCUCAUACUGUAGUCCAUUAACAUACAUUUGGCCAAUAAAGCAAUGAAAAACAACGUAACGUUUUUAUGUGGAGCAACUGUUGCGCUGUUUGGGAUUCGCCCUCGGCCUCUGUGUGUGCAGCGCUCGCGUUUAAGUGCCCUCAAUAGUGCACGCGUGUUUGGUGCACACACGAGAAAGACGCGUUUAAAAAACAAGCGAUCAUAAAAUCUUAUUAUGUUCGCUUAGCACAUAUAAAGAAAAUUACACUGUGAAUGCAAACAUGGUACUUACUUAAAAAUAGUAAAUUGACCUUAAUCAGUUUUUAUCAACCUGCUUUUAACACUUGCUUUUAGUGAGUUACUUGUACUUUGAGGUUGAAAAAUCUUACCAGCUCAGUCUACUUGAGCUGGAUUCAUAUAGAAAAAGUAAGUUUAUGACAUGUGGACAUGCGCAGAUCAGUCCUCUCUGAAAUGCCUAAACCCAACCAAUCAAGGUGCUUCGUGGGGCGGGUCUUGGCGUUGCGGGAAUCGUAAUUUUGCAGACGGUGGUUACAUGUCAUGUCACCUCACCACAUGCUGCAACUGACCAGGUGGAGCUGGACCUAAACAUCGCUUCUACGGCACUUGUGAUUAUGUUCAGACGAUAUUCUUGUGCUUGGCACACUCAUUUGGUAAGUAAAUAUUUUACCCGUGUGCACACCGUUUUGUUUCUGUAAGUCAGCGCCAGUGUUUUGUGCUUGAUAUUCGUGUAGUAAUGUCUGCUUACGCUAGGUAACUAUAUUAUAGACAUAACGUUAUAUUUUGCUGAAACUUGGUCAAUACUUUAUUAAUUUUUAAAUCCACAACUUCCUUGGUGUUGAAAAUUGGUAACUUUUAAAGACUUAUGACACGUUAAAAUUCAGGAAUAACUUUAGUGUUAUGCGGCGCCGCAAGAAUCGACAGCCAAAAAACGUCAAAGUAUCGCGAGAGCGAGACGAAAUAAGAUUUCUUGAACAAUUCUCGCGAUACUUUGACGUCAUCCGGCUGUCGGUUCUGACGGCGCCGUAUGAAGUCGAACAAGCCUAGUAAGGUAACUUUUGUCGAGUAACGUACUGACUAGCAUGAUGACAGACUGAUCCCGGUGGUUUGUGAGUUUCCUGAGCUUUAUAACUGAUUUUUAUAAGUUUAGGCAGAACAAGUAUGUAUCAUUUUAUUUUAAGCUAGGCUGUAAAGUUAGCACUAAUGCUAAUUUAGCUACCAAUAAUAACAGUCUGUGCUUAUCAAAGACAAGAUUACCUCGUGUGUCGACAUAUGAUUGGGGAUAUCCCCACAAUGUUAUUUUAUUUAACACUCACACUUAACACUGGUCGAUAUUCAUAGCUGUGCCGUUUCCAUGGUUACCACGUGUAGUACCCAGAUCAGACACGUUACAGACAAGAGUGUCUCCUUGUCUGAAAUUUUUUACACAGUUUAUCAUAGCCUGUUAUGAUAGGGAACGUAUUUGCUGGCAUACUCCGUUGCUUACCUUAUUAUUCAAGGUCAUCUUGUACAUAAUGUGCACAUUUUAAUAAGGGGAACUGUCUGUGGGUUAUAGGCCUAUGUUAGUUUUCACAUGUAACGUUACUUGUUUGUGAGUUGUUGUGAACUUUGGUUGUAUUAAAUUGUUGUGUUUUUUUAAACUGUCCUCUUUCAGGCUCAAGCAGAAUGGUAAUCAAUCCUCCUCACAUUCCAUAAUCCCAGCAAUAAAAGGUAUUUUCAACUAAUAACUGUUAUUAUUGCAUGUUAAAGUAAAAGUUAUGCUUACAUCAGAGCAAUUGGAUUACAACAAAAGCGAAUCAAUUUAAGAAAUUCAAAGUAAAUAUCUUGUGUGUUUAAAUGAAUUUAUCAUUCUGUAUGAUGAAAUAUACUAUAAUGUUUUGUGCAUAUGUUGAAUUUCAAAUAUUUGAUGUAAUUAGUAUUUCUGAACUGGCUUUAUAGAUACUGUGGACAGUCCAUCAUAUCCAGACAGACAGUAUCCUAGAUGCCAACCACAAUGGAAGAAAUGAAGAAAAAACAACCAAAUGUGGCACUCUCAUUUCACAAAUGAUGGACCAAUCAUUCCCACUACGCAGACAAGAAAUUGUAAAAAACAAGGGCCUGCUGUACAGAACGAUGGCCAGCACUUUUCACAAAGAGACAGGUGUUUGCUGAGUUUAAUAGAAUCGGGAGUAAGAAUCUUGAGGGAGACUUGAGGCUUUGGACCAGUAUGCUCCACGUUUCAUCGAACUUUUCAAAACAAAAAGGGAACUGUUGGCCAGAAGCUGGAGGAGCUGAUGCAGCACAUGAGCUGGCUGACACCAGACGUGACAGUACUUCGCUCAUUUGUCCUCAAAGGCAUUCCCAUUUUACUUGGUGACGAAGAUCAAGAGACAAGGCUCUAGAAUGCAUCACUGUUGGUGUCCUGACGGGGUUCAGUGAAGAUAGUCCUCACGAGGGUCAAAACUUAGUGUUCCUCCAGCCCAUCUCCACUGCCAUCAUUCUGGAGGGAGGUAUUGUUAUGGAUAAUGUUAAGAACUUGCCUCAAGUCUUUUGUUUUGGGUUACAUAUGCAUUGCAUUUGGAUUACCCAAAAUGCAUGGCAAAUACACUCAACUUCAUUCGGACUGUGAUGCUUGGACUGUGAAAGAAAAACCUCCCACCAAAACGGUUGCCUCUGAAGAACAGUCUUCUGGGUUAGAACAAUAAAGAGAUGUCAGAUAGCACUUUGUAAGCUUUGCAGCCAUUAAUGUUCUCCUGUUAUUAGAGACAGUUUGAUGCUUUCAUGCAACUGUAACUGAUUCGUGAGUCAAAAACUGUAAUGUGAUCUGAACCGUGAGUUUUGUGAUCCGUCACACACCCCUAGUAAAGUUAGUACACAGUGAUAGCCAUAAAUGCAUUUGUACUAAUAAUUGGCAUAAUAAUUUCUUUCGGUGUUUCGGUUUCGGUUUUUCUGCCUUGGUUUCCUCUUUUUCGGUUUCGGCCAAGAAUUUUCAUUUCGGUGCAUCCCUAACUAACAUGAACAAACAAUCAACAAUAGUUUUUCAGCAUGUAUUAAUUCUUGUUAAUGUUAGUUAAUGUCAAUACAACAUAAGUUCUAGAUGAGAGCUGAGUUGCCGUGACAACCGUGACGCAUCAUCAGUCAACAAAGAGCAGCACAAAACUCUGAACUCUCUCAACUCUUCUCUUUUAUUGUAAAAGGUUAGUAAAAAUUAAUACAUUUCAAAGAAAAAACAUUGUAAUUCACACGCUUUAAUGUCAAAGUAAAGUUUUUAUUGAAUAUUUGGUAACACUUUAACAUUAAAGGUAGGGUAACAGAUUUGAUCCUAAAACAUUGUAGUUAUGCUGGUUAAAAGUCUCCUGACAUCCUGAUAGAAAUUACUGUGUUAAGUUGUUUAAAUGUAUUUGUAGAAAUUUAUGUCAUCUGUGAAAGGCGUAGGACCAAAAAAAUGUUCAACCAAUCAUAGAUUUCGGUCCGAACGGACGUUUCCUUUUUUGUCCCUCAUACGUAAGCGUAAUUUGAAUGCCCACCGUGCAGCGAGUCCAACCAGACACCAUACGUCAUCGGCGCGUUCACGUGCACUCACCUCCUGUCUGUAAACAACGAGAAUAGCAAACUUUUCUGCUGAAUUGACAACCUACACAGGAGGCACAAAACGAAAGACAUCUUUUAUAACAACAACAGCAAAAACUGCCUGGAUCAGCAAGAGCAAAAACCCAAAUGAACAUCAGUAACUUUACUGCUUUACCACGAGAUGCAAACAGCUGCAGGAGGCAAAGGGUCUGAAAAGGGUCGUUGCACUGUUUAUUUUGGUAAGAUAGGUGCGCGAUAUGUUUGUAUUGAGAUGGAUUCAGAUAAUCUACUUUGAUGAAACAUUGUGUUGCUUAUGAAAUUUGUGUUCGUUUACGGAUUAGCGUAACGAUAUAGUUACUACGUCUACAUAACCGAACGUGUGCUUAAACUAAUUCUGAUGUAAACCAGUUGUUUAUGUUGGUUAAUUUAAAAAUGUUAUUCACUUUGUACUGCAAAGUUUUCUCACUGGUGAAUGAGACAUGAGAUGUGACCGUCUGAUCUGUGCGUGUUCAUGUGUUUUGAAAGAGGCGUGACUUUGGAUAGCGAUUUGACUGGAGGGUGGAUCUUGAUUUCAUUGCUAGGCGGCUACCGUUAGCAUUUUUCAAAAUGUGAAACCCUAUCUUUAACAUUAGUAAUCCAUUAACUAACAUGAACAAACAAUCAACAAUAUAGUUUUUCAGCAUGUGUUCUUGUUAAUGUUAGUUAAUGUCAAUACAGUAUAUAGUAUAUUUUGAAAUUUAAUUUAAAAAUAAAUGUAUUUUUAAAGCAUUUAUAUUUAUAUUGCAUGUGAGACAAGUUUUGAAUAGCUUAAAAUUAAUUAUGUUUUCAACUGCAAAAUACUUAUACUUAUAAAAGUCAAAGUAAAGUUUUUCUUGGAAA